rnacentral:lncRNA from 1 species
GGGGGGGGGGGGGGAGGGCGGGGACUCGAUGGGAGCACUGAGGAUCAGAACAAGUUCCCGACCGCCGGGAAGGGCGAAGCGGGGCAGGCAGCGGCGCCCGGCCGCCGGAGUAGCAUCGCUCCGUACUCCGAGGACAGUGGGGUUCCUUUUAAAGUUUCGCUUCGUUGCUUCCUUCACUCGGAUUUCGACAUCAACAAAUCCUUCCCACCGACUGGGUCGAAAAAGGUUAAAGGCUACCCGGGAAGGUGGGCGAGAAGCCUCGAAGGCACGCCGUCGUUGUUGGUGGCGGCGGGCGCAUCCUCCUCGGUUUCCCUGAGAAUCCCGACCGAGCCGCCUUUCCCAGGAG